GGGGGGGGAAACUCCAGGCCUUGCAGUCCUGAUCCUGUAUGAUGCAGAAGAUGUCAAUCCAACCGCACAUUGAUCUCUGCAGCGUGGUCGGUGGGAGGAGAUGUGGCCGAGCUCUUGAACCAGGCUCUAUCGGUAUUUUGGACCCAACUACUGCCGUUUGAUGUUAGGUCAGGACGCGUUGGUGGAGGAGUGCUGAUGGACGAGAGCCGAUGGCGCCAUGGUGGACGAGAGAAGAAUGUUCUACCAUUCUCCUGCAUAACACAUUUUCAAACCCGAUGGCCUUGGCUGAUGGAGGAACUGCAUCUGGAGGACGACCAUGAAUCUACCUGCCAACAGGUGGUACUGGUUUGCACUGGUUUGCAUGAACUGAACAUGGUGGACAUGAGGCAAAUUCCCUGGUUUUUGCUCCAGACCAGGACUCUGUGAGGGGUGGUGAUGGAGCCGUGCUGAGGACCCGCUGGUGACGGACGUCCCUCGGUGGGGGGGCAAGGACAGCCGACCCUGAGGAUCCGCUCGGAUGUACGAUCGCUACGAUGCGACUGCAGAGGUCUCUGGAAGACCAGGAGUCCUUGGCUGAGGAGAGCUGAUGGAGGAGCCGUGCACCUGGAGAACCAUGAGUCUGCCUGCCAACAAGUAGUACUGGGAUAGGGAGGUGAUGGAGGACCUGCCUGGUGAAGGACGUCAGGGUGGGGUGAGUGACACCCGACUCCAAGGGGAUAUCCACUGAGGAGAGAGCUGAAGGAGCCAUGCAUCUGGAAGGUGCAGUUGAAAUGCUGUGUCCAGUCUGGGACAGACAGACCUGAGCUACGUCAAGCCUGUAUCUCUGACCAGCUGGAGUCCCUUAGUGAUCAACAACCGCCACUCAUCGCUGGCCUGUGGAUUCAUCUCCUCCACACUCACACAACAGGACUUUGGCCUGUGGAUUCAUCUCCUCCACACUCACACAACAGGACUUUGGCCUGUGGAUUCAUCUCCUCCACACUCACGCAAUGUGACCUUCUCACCAUCUGUUGCACAUUUGGAUGCACCUAGCGUGUUCCAUCGAGGGUUCCUUCCUCCCCAUGGUGGGAGGGUUCCUUGUCCUUCAAGGCGUCGGGGUUCAGUGUUAGGGACAGAGUUAGGGACAGAUGGCUGCGCUGGAUUCACGAUACACGCUUUGAUCAAAAUGGGUUCGGACAUCGGACAAAUCGCUUCCCUAAAUGUUUCAAUGUGCAAACGAUUUUAUAAAAUGUAUACUCGUGGUGUUUAUAUA